rnacentral:rRNA from 1 species
AACGGCCAUACCAUGCUGAAUAUACCGGUUCUCGUUAGAUCACCGAAGUCAAGCAUCAUUGGGCGCGGUCAGUACUUGGGUGGGGGACCACCUGGGAACACCGUGUGCCGUU